GAUGAACGCUGGCGGCGUGCUUAACACAUGCAAGUCGAACGAUGAAGCCCAGCUUGCUGGGUGGAUUAGUGGCGAACGGGUGAGUAACACGUGAGUAACCUGCCCUUAACUCUGGGAUAAGCCUGGGAAACUGGGUCUAAUACCGGAUAGGAGCGCCUACCGCAUGGUGGGUGUUGGAAAGAUUUAUCGGUUUUGGAUGGACUCGCGGCCUAUCAGCUUGUUGGUGAGGUAAUGGCUCACCAAGGCGACGACGGGUAGCCGGCCUGAGAGGGUGACCGGCCACACUGGGACUGAGACACGGCCCAGACUCCUACGGGAGGCAGCAGUGGGGAAUAUUGCACAAUGGGCGAAAGCCUGAUGCAGCGACGCCGCGUGAGGGAUGACGGCCUUCGGGUUGUAAACCUCUCUCAGUAGGGAAGAAGCGAAAGUGACGGUACCUGCAGAAGAAGCACCGGCUAACUACGUG
rnacentral:rRNA from 1 species